ensembl:lncRNA
CGCCCGGGACCAUGCUUGUUCUGGGCGCCCCAGGACCCAGUCAAACUGACACACGACCGUGAUCCUCACUGGCAGUCUGGAGGCUGAAUCACUUCUUUGGGAACCUGUCUUUGCCCUUAAGGGAGCAAAGACUGGAUAAAGGGCCACCCACACUAGGGAGAAGGGUCUGCUUUAUCAAAGUCCCCAGAUGGUUGAUGUUAAUUUCACCUAAAAACACACCUUUACCCCAACAUCUAGACUGGUGGUGGACCAACCUACUGCACACAGAGACUCACAAGCUGACCCCACCCGACUUCCGUGUCGCAGACGUGCAGCGCAGACUUCCCUAGCAGCCCCUGGGCAGAGUCCUCCUCCUGGAACCCAAAAGCCUCAAACUGCAUCUUUGAACCAGUUAGGAGUGGGAGGACUGAGAUGCUGGGCACUGGACAGGCUGCACGGCCUAGGGGGGAUUGUGGACUGAUUCCAGAACUGUGGCAGAAGAAGGGGGCAGUGUCUGCACAGGCCCGGAGCUCACGCAUGGUGGGGGGCUGUGCUGAGCUUCACACCUGGCUAGGGGGCCUGCGGAAACUAUGCCACGUGCCCUUACGAAGUGACGCUGGCCACUGAGACAGGUCCUGCAGGCCUAUGACUGCAGUGAUGUGAAGUGACGUGCCUUCAGGGAUGGUGAUAAGAGUCAGCUGGCCUUUGCUGGGCCACUUUGCUCUAAGGAGGUCCAAACCACAUCAAGGGACCCCAGCGUGGACCCCCACCUCGGUGAGUGAGGAGAUCUUUAAGCCAGGCCUGGCCCCACCAGGCAGUCCAGGCUGCAGCUACACCAGGGAAUCAACUCGUUAGAGAGGGUGAGAUCCUGAUGUUACUUUACUCGGGAAGGGCCCAGAGAAUGAGGUCCUGGCCCCUUGAGCAUGACCUAAAGCUCCCUCUCUGGGUGGGAGGAGGCUUCCCUGGACACAGUGAAAUCAACAAUGUUCUUCCCAAACACAAACCUGCCCUGGGGCUCCCUGUCUGCUGACGUAAGGCUUCUUUUCAGGCAGAUGCUGAGAGUUCAUGUCCCACCUUCCACCCCUUAUGGGACCCUGUCACCAUCAAGGGUGCCUCACAGCCUUGAGAUGUGGGAGCACUGACCUUCAGG